rnacentral:rRNA from 4 species
GACCUCAGAUCAGGCAAGGCUACCCGCUGAA